UUCGCCCUUAGAGUUUGAUCCUGGCUCAGAGCGAACGCUGGCGGCAGGCUUAACACAUGCAAGUCGAGCGGGCCCUUCGGGGUCAGCGGCAGACGGGUGAGUAACGCGUGGGAACGUGCCCUUCGGUUCGGAAUAACUCAGGGAAACUUGAGCUAAUACCGGAUACGUGCUUAGGCAGAAAGGUUUACUGCCGAAGGAUCGGCCCGCGUCUGAUUAGCUGGUUGGUGAGGUUAUGGCUCACCAAGGCGACGAUCAGUAGCUGGUCUGAGAGGAUGAUCAGCCACACUGGGACUGAGACACGGCCCAGACUCCUACGGGAGGCAGCAGAAGGG
rnacentral:rRNA from 1 species